rnacentral:rRNA from 1 species
AUGGAUCCCGCCGCAAAGCGGGUCGCCCCAGGCAGCAAAUGGACCAGAGACCCGCAGCUCGGGGACCUCGUCCUCGCCAAGGUCAAGGGCUACCCUUACUGGCCAGCCAAGGUUGCUCAUGUAGCCUUGCAAUAUCUCUUGCCAUUUACAGAAGAGGUGAAGAGUGACUUGGUAAAUCAAGCUCGAGAGAAACGAUUCCCGGUAAGACAUGCGAAGGGUCUUGAAGAAGCCUUGGUGGAGAUACUCGAGGCCUAUGAUGAACUGGCAAAAUCAUCUGAAAUUGCCAAUGGUUUGUUGCCAGAUCAAAGUCUUGAUCCCGUUGGAAAACCUACAGAGCCCCUUGUAAAAACACGUGAUGGUGGUGGGACUCCUAAACUGGAACAACUGCCAAAGUCAUCUGAAUCUGCCAAUGGUUUGUUGCCUGAUCCAACUCUUGGUCUGAUUGAAAAACCUACAGAGUCCCUUGUAAAGACACGUGACGAUGGUGGCACUCCGAAACUGGCGCAACUUCCAAAAUCAUCUGAAACCGCCAAUGUUUUGUUUCCUGAUCAAAUUCCUGAUCCGAUUGAAAAACAUACAGAGCCCCUUGUAAAGCGACCUGCUGAUGGUGGGACUCUAAAACUGGAACAAACUGAUGAUUUCCAGAAGAGGUACUCGAGCCUCAAUAGAAGAAAAAAGAGAGUUCCGUUUGCUGCCAUUGAAGAGAGGAACUUGGAGGAUCCCUAUGGCAUACCAAAAUGCAUUGCUGCGCUUGAAGGAUUGCCGGAGUUGCAAAUGGAAGAUAUACUAAAAGCAGCUGACCUCUUCAUGGAUAACAAGGGCAACAGAGAAGUCUUCCUCUCUUUUUCCAGUAGCGCAUUGCGGCUUGGCUGGUUAAGAAGAAAAAUUCACAACACCAGUGAAAUGGCUGGUUAA